rnacentral:rRNA from 1 species
ACGAACGCUGGCGGCGUGCUUAACCCCUGCAAGUCGAACGGAAAGGCCCUGCUUUUGUGGGGUGCUCGAGUGGCGAACGGGUGAGUAACACGUGAGUAACCUGCCCUUGACUUUGGGAUAACUUCAGGAAACUGGGGCUAAUACCGGAUAGGAGCUCCUGCUGCAUGGUGGGGGUUGGAAAGUUUCGGCGGUUGGGGAUGGACUCGCGGCUUAUCAGCUUGUUGGUGGGGUAGUGGCUUACCAAGGCUUUGACGGGUAGCCGGCCUGAGAGGGUGACCGGCCACAUUGGGACUGAGAUACGGCCCAGACUCCGACGGGAGGCAGCAGUGGGGAAUAUUGAACAAUGGGCGGAAGCCUGAUGCAGCAACGCCGCGUGCGGGAUGACGGCCUUCGGGUUGUAAACCGCUUUCGCCUGUGACGAAGCGUGAGUGACGGUAAUGGGUAAAGAAGCACCGGCUAACUACGUG